CGCGUAGGCGGUCGAACAAGUCAGGGGUGAAAUCCUGCAGCUUAACUGUAGAAGUGCCUCUGAUACUGUUCGUCUGGAGGGAGAUAGGGGUGUGCGGAACUUCCAGUGGAGCGGUGAAAUGCGUUGAUAUUGGAAGGAACGCCGGAGGCGAAAGCGGCGCACUGGAUCUCUACUGACGCUGAGGCGCGAAAGCCAGGGGAGCAAACG
rnacentral:rRNA from 1 species